AAAUGAGAAAUGAAUUUCAUCAUAUUCAGUUUCGACCUGAAUCUUCAGUUUUAAUACUGCUUAUUUA
rnacentral:tRNA from 1 species